rnacentral:rRNA from 1 species
GAUGAACGCUGGCGGCGUGCCUAAUACAUGCAAGUCGAGCGAACGGACGAGAAGCUUGCUUCUCUGAUGUUAGCGGCGGACGGGUGAGUAACACGUGGAUAACCUACCUAUAAGACUGGGAUAACUUCGGGAAACCGGAGCUAAUACCGGAUAAUAUUUUGAACCGCAUGGUUCAAAAGUGAAAGACGGCCUUGCUGUCACUUAUAGAUGGAUCCGCGCUGCAUUAGCUAGUUGGUAAGGUAACGGCUUACCAAGGCAACGAUGCAUAGCCGACCUGAGAGGGUGAUCGGCCACACUGGAACUGAGACACGGUCCAGACUCCUACGGGAGGCAGCAGUAGGGAAUCUUCCGCAAUGGGCGAAAGCCUGACGGAGCAACGCCGCGUGAGUGAUGAAGGUCUUCGGAUCGUAAAACUCUGUUAUUAGGGAAGAACAUAUGUGUAAGUAACUGUGCACAUCUUGACGGUACCUAAUCAGAAAGCCACGGCUAACCACGUG